AUUGUCCCAGAGGCACUGCAGAUGUGGCUGCUAUGUCAAAUGUGGAUCAGUAGGUGACAGAAGAGAGUCUGUCUACACUCAGUGUUCUGAUUAUGAACAUCUGAGUGAUUAAUAACCUAACAUU
rnacentral:snoRNA from 1 species